CACCAAAGCAACGAUCAGUAGCCGGUCUGAGAGGAUGAACGGCCACAAUGGGACUGAGACACGGCCCAUACUCCUACGGGAGGCAGCAGUGGGGAAUCUUCCGCAAUGGGCGAAAGCCUGACGGAGCGACGCCGCGUGAGUGAAGAAGGUCUUCGGACCGUAAAGCUCUUUUGUUGCAGGCGAAGGGUAAGAGCAGGAAAUGGCUCUUAUUAGACGGUUUGCAAGGAAUAAGCCACGGCUAACUACGCGCCAGCAGCCGCGGUAAUACGUAGGUGGCGAGCGUUGUCCGGAAUUAUUGGGCGUAAAGGGAGCGCAGGCGGAAGGACAAGCCAGAUUUGAAAGUUCGGGGCUCAGCCCCGUGACGGAUCUGGAACUGUUCUCCUUGAGAGCGGGAGAAGGAAGCGGAAUUCCUGGUGUAGCGGUGAAAUGCGUAGAUAUCAGGAAGAACACCAGUGGCGAAAGCGGCUUUCCGGACCGAAUCUGACGCUGAGGCUCGAAAGCCAGGGGAGCGAACGGGAUUAGAUACCCCGGUAGUCCUGGCCGUAAACGAUGGAUGCUAGGUGUGGGGGGGUAUCGACCAAU
rnacentral:rRNA from 2 species